UUCAGGAUAAAUCGGUUACUCAAUAUGGCAUUAUAGUUCAACUUUGCAGGAGAUUGCAAGCUCAAAUUCCCUCCAUACUAAUUAUUUAUUUGAGUGGGGAUUUUAAACAUGCGUACCACAAGAGCUGGUACUGCUGCUUGAAUGUUUUUUGACCCUCCAUUAAGGUGCCAACUAAAAUGAGAGCGAUAGGAGAGAGCAGGUCUUAACUUUUUUUUGUGAGGUUUUUGUAGCACUGGAGCAGUAUUGUCCAUGAAUUACAUUGUCACGCUCUUUUGUGCCUUUGCUUUCCUUUCAAGCCCCUAAUCAAAUCCGUGCGGUGCGGGCUUGCCUUCUUGUCUCAACAUCUUUCUUUUUCCUCCUAAAAAAAUAUCAACAUCUUUUGAUGGUAAGAUCCAAGUGGCUUUCUAUGUUGGCAAGAAAUUUAUGUUGUUCAAUUUAGCCAAAAAACAAAAUCUAAUUGGCUCAUCUUUGCUUUACAUUAAAUCACAUGAAGGGUUCAUUCCACAAACCAAAUC
rnacentral:lncRNA from 1 species